GCCUGGUUUGCUCAGUCAGUAGAGCAUGUGACUCUUGAUCUUAGGGUUGUUGAGUUCGAGCCCCACACUGGGUG
rnacentral:tRNA from 1 species